GGUGUGCGGGACAACUUCAUCCGUACCCGAUCGGGGGAAGCCGGUGGAAAUCCGGCACUGACCCGCAACCGUGAGCAGGCCGCCCCGCGGACCUGUAAGCCGGAGCACCCGAUGGGGCACGACCAAGGCU
rnacentral:ncRNA from 2 species